rnacentral:misc_RNA from 1 species
GAAAUGCGAUAAGUAGUGUGAAUUGCAGAAUUCAGUGAAUCAUCGAAUCUUUGAACGCAUAUUGCGCCCCUUGGUAUUCCGUGGGGCAUGCCUGUUCGAGCGUCAUUUGUACCCUCAAGCUCUGCUUGGUGUUGGGUGUUUGUCCCCGUCUCCGCGCGUGGACUCGCCCCAAAGUGAUUGGCAGCCGGCGUACUGGUCCCGGAGCGCAGCACAUGUCGCGCAAACGAGUGCCUUGGUACGGCGGCGUCCAUAAGCCCCUCUCUCACGCUCUUGACCUCGGAUCAGGUAGGGAUACCCGCUGAACUUAAGC